CCUUGGUCUCCUUCGGCAAGCGGCUCCCUGAGCGAGGACUCCGCACCUGGGUCGGGAGAGGGGCGGGGCUGGCCAGGUGCCUGUGGGGCCACGCCCCCUAGGCGGGGAGGAGGCGGGAGGCCGUGCAGCUUUAAAAAGGGCCGCGCGGACCCUGCGCUGGAGGAACGGCAGCUACAGCCGCCCGGGUGGGAGUCAGGUCAGGCUGCCCUCCGCGCCUGGCAUCGCGCGGGCGAAAUGGCCAGGAAUCAAUGGCGCAUCGAACGCUCCCGUUGCUAACUAUACUUGAUCUGCUUGCCAAGAGAUAAAAGCACAGUUCCUGGUAUCACGCUAGAAGGAAGAAGAGCCCUGGAGGUGCCCACAACCCCCAUGCAAACAUCUUUGUACGAAACACAAGCUCUCACAAGGAUCAAGGUGCCUCUCUCAACUCGGCAGAUAUCAAACGCGAUCCAUUGUACAUACUUUAGGAAAUCGUGCAAGUAGUUCAACAGCAAGGCCAGACUCUUCUCGUCCAAGGGCGUGUAAGCGAGCAUGGCUCCGAUCCGGACUGUUCAGACGGUAAUUUAAGGACAAAGGAGAAGACAACGUUAAGGGAAGCAUUUGCACAAUUCAUAAAAUUCACCCGCUCUAUUUCCAGUUGAGUUGUCCAGCCACCACAUCAUACAGGUCAUGACUGCAGCUGCCUUUUGAAAGUGACACAUUAGUGAUCCUAAGGCAGAGAUGAAGUUUCAGGGAUGCCUGGAAAGCCUCCUGGGUCAGAAACAAGUGAGGAAGCAUUUUGGAACACAGUGAAGAGUAGCACUGAGGGGAACUGAGGGUUAUGAAAGGUCCACUUAGUAGGUGCUGCUAACCCCCAAUAUAGCCUGGGCAGUUUUGUCUAGCACAGUGGCUGGUACCACCCUCCGGGGGUGGCGACAUUAUCUAGAGGGGUGCUUAAGAGGCAAGGGGGUGCUGGAGAUGUAAUGGCUGUCAAGCUUUGAAAAGCUGGUAUCAGUGGAUCAUGUUCAUCCAUUUAGUUGUAUUAAACUAAAUUGUUUCAAUUGGAUAUUGAAAAAAUGUUAAAUACACGGUCACUGUUUUAAA